GGUGGGGGCGUGAGCAUGUACCACGCCCACUUUGCGUGCUGGGGCAACACCUCCAGUGAACUGAGGGAUAGUGGAGUCGGACAGCUCUGUCUAUUUGGAGUAAAAUCCGGUUCUUAGCUGUGUGGUCCAUGUGGUCUCCGGACCUAGGCUUUCUGAUUCACCCUGAGUCUCUCUUACUCAAAAAGUAUGUUUUGAGUCCCUUUGCCCCAUGGGAAAUCUGAAAGGAAGGUGUCAGAUGACUCCUCCCCUCCUCAAAAUAAACUCCUCUGUCCUCCCUUCUCAGAUUAGGGCUCUUAAAACGUGAACUGGGGCUUUCCUGUCCCCUCAAGCUCCUCCUGGACUAGUAGCUGGCACCUACAGGAUCUGUCUCUCCUGCUGCAGGAAACCCGGCUCCUGGCCGGCAGCGCUAGCUUUAUUUUUACCUGGUGAAAAUCAGCGCUGGAAAGAGAGAUUUGGAGCCUGCAUCUUUUAUUCCAAAACGAAGGACCCAGCAUUGACAGCUGAGGCCAUGUGAGUCUGAUCCUGAAUGAGGCUUUAUCCGACUGUCCUCUGUCCCAUCAUCCACUGUGGCACCAGCUCCCUCGGACUG
rnacentral:lncRNA from 1 species